rnacentral:rRNA from 1 species
CCUACGGGGGGCAGCAGUGGGGAAUAUUGGGCAAUGGGAGCAAGCCUGACCCAGCAACGCCGCGUGAAGGAAGAAGGCUUUCGGGUUGUAAACUUCUUUUGUCAGGGACGAAGCACGUGACGGUACCUGACGACUAAGCCACGGCUAACUACGUGCCAGCAGCCGCGGUAAUACGGAGGUGGCAAGCGUUAUCCGGAUUUACUGGGUGUAAAGGGCGUGUAGGCGGGGAAGCAAGUCAGAUGUGAAAACCACGGGCUCAACCUGUGGCCUGCAUUUGAAACUGUUUUUCUUGAGUGCUGGAGAGGCAAUCGGAAUUCCGUGUGUAGCGGUGAAAUGCGUAGAUAGACGGAGGAACACCAGUGGCGAAGGCGGAUUGCUGGACAGUAACUGACGCUGCGGCGCGAAAGCGUGGGGAGCAAACAGGAUUAGAUACCCGAGUAGUC